rnacentral:lncRNA from 1 species
CUCCGGGUGUUUCUAAGGCAAAUUGGCCUUGUAGAAACCUAAUUGGGGACCUAACGAACGCGUUGAAAUGCUCGGUUCGGCAAUCCGACGAGCGUACGCGAAGUUAUUGACGAAACGGUCGGUUUUGGUACAGAUAGCCGCAGCACGCGGAAUAAAGGUCUAAAAAUCAUGAGAUCGGAACUGGAGCACCUUGGAGUCAAGGAAUAAACUCCAGAAAAGACGGAUCGCGGUUCGGAGGUCGUUUGGAAGUCGCGCAUGAGUUCGGGCCAAAUCGGGCAACGGUUGCCGCGGGAGGCCGAUUGCAAGUGACUACAAGCAAUUGGAGUGCGUGUUAAGGUGGGUUGGUUUACCGAAGCGACUAGGUCGCCUUUAUGUCUAAGAAAUUAAGAAUCCAUGUUGAUGCAUAUAAAUGUAAAUGAAGCAUGUAGCUAAAUAAUGCAUGUUGAUAGUAUGAUGUAAAUGCUAAGUAGAUGCAUAUAAAUGAUAUAUGAGAUUAUAAACGCAUGAUUAGCAUUAUGAGAUUAUAGAUGUAUGCUUAGCAUUGUGAGAUUAUAUAUGCAUAUGAACUUGGUUGAUAACUCUAGCUUGAUUAGAGAGAUAACAUUGGAAAAUGAGAAUUGAUAACUCUAGAAUGAGUAGAAUGCUUAAUUGGACAAUUAGUAUGUGAAUUAGAUCGAGUGGCAUCUAACUUAGUGUUAAGGAACAUAGGUCGUGAGUAGACCUAGAAUCAAAUAGAUCGAGUGGCAUCUAACCUAGUGUUAAUAAACAUAGGUCGUGAAAUGAAAAGUACUUAACCUAGAGUCAAGUGAACCUAGGUUNNNNNNNNNNNNNNNNNNNNNNNNNAAGAGAGAGAUGCUUACAUUCCCUCACCGAUGACGUCGAAAAGAUAUUAAGGUUCAUCUGGAGUAGAAUUGUCAAGAGGACUUUUAAUGAGUUAGACAAGGCUAUGUCGGCUCCUAAUUCUUGCCCUCCCAUUAAAUGGGUAAGGAUUUGUGAUUUUCAGUGAUGCAUCGUACAGUGGUUUAGGUUGCUCGUCAUGAUCAGCAUAAUGUAGGUAUUGUUUUAUUGCUUCUGACAAUUUGCAAGGAUUACGAGAAGAAUUACCCUACCGCACUAGACUGGAGCUUUCCGCAUAGUCUUUGCUUGUGAAGUUGGUGGCGGUAUUACUUUAUUGCGAUCACUGCGAGGUUUCACUGAUCAUAAAAAGCGUUUCAGUCAUCUAUUCACCAAAAGGAGUUGAACCUGAGGCAACGCCGGUGGUUGGAGUUGUUGGAAGGACUAUGAUAAUUAGUAUUAGAUAUCACCCCGGCAAGGCGAAUACGGUGGCAGAGAUGCGUUGAGAAGAAGGUAGUGGGCAAGCUUGAGCAAUGAUUGAUUACUCACAGAGGGCCGUACUUUGGAGAAGCUGCAGGCGGUUGAUGCUCCAAGUAGUGUCCCCUGGGUACUGCAAUACUGAUGGUUUAUGAUUCUUGGAGCACGCACUCUUGUUGUGAUCAGUGAUCAAGGGAGUAAGCAGAGUGGAGAUUCUGCAUUUGUUGAGAAUGUUGAAGCAGUUUGGAGAGGGACAGGCAGAGGUUUUUUCUGUGGACAGUUCGGGAGAGAAUACAAGUACAAGGGACUGACUGUGUAUGAACAUAUCGAACUUCUAAAGUUCAUGAAGUCACGGUGUAUGUGGGCUGGAAAAACUAUUCUGAAUGGUCGCGGUAAGGUUCGGUGAAUGUUCGGAGCUUUUUGGGCUUUUCGUGCGCGUAGGCGGCUGAAAAACUGGAACCCGAAAGCUAGUUGGCCGGAGCUAAUUCGGCAUUAGCGUGGAUGAAAAGAUGAUGGAGACAUGUUCGAAACAUGUUUGGAGAAGUAAUAUAUAUGGAACCCAGAAGGAAUUAUCGAACUUAGCACAAAUUGGCUAAAGCUCGAAUAAGAUGAAUGCGACGAGUUCCAGUUAACGUUCCCAUCAAGGUGGAAGGCAUAAGAUGAUUCUAAAAGAUUAGAAAGGUUUUUAGCGUUGUCCGGCCACGAAAUAGAGUCGAAAACUAAGCUAAAAAACCAAGUCGGCAGCAUUGUGUACCGUAACAAGUGAUUGGUUGUACCUGUACAAGCAAGCAACGCCGAAGAAAUGCUAACUCUCGGAGUUUGAGUGAAAAGACUGUAAAGCCGGUGACCACGGGAAAGUGUACGCGGUACACAUGUUGCAGAAAAUGCAAGAUUUGGUCUGCUGCAAUUAAUAUAUUGAUUGGAGGGGUUUUAUUUUGCAAAUUGUACGCUAAUGUAAGUAAGCCCUAAAACCCCUCUCCCUCACAGCAGAUCUCUGCUCCUCUCUCCCUCCGUGUCUCUCCCUCUUGUUAAGGGUAUCGUGUCUCUCGACUCUCGCUCUCACCUGUUGCAAGAAAAAAGAAGGAAAAAGAAAAAAAGAGAAGGAAAAAGAAAAGAGAUAGGAAAAAAGAAGACAAUGAUGGAGAAAAGAAGCUACCUCGCAUCUUCAGUCUUCCUCAAUGCAUUUGAGAGCCUUGGAAGGUAAGCCAUGCGUCCCCUCUCAUGGUGGAUUAGGGUUAAGGUUUUGGUUUUUAAACCCCUAAUACUAGAGAUUUGGAGCUUCUAGCAUGAUUAAGAUACCAGUGUAAAGACCUAUAGACACAUGAAAUCCAUGGUGUUCUUGUAGUCUCUAAUGGUGGAAUCCUAGGUUUGUUCUAAAUGCCCUAGCGAGUAUGAUUCUAAUGAGAAUAGAAACAUCCAGUUUAGAGAACUUCUUGGGUUGAUCUAAGCUCGAUUAUCUUAGCUAUGAGAUCAAUCCCAGAAAUUGGAUUAUGCAUGUAGGCAUCGAAAUUGGCAGCUUUUUCGCCGGGUGUUUCUAAAGGCAAAUUGGUCCUUGUACGAAACCUAAUUGGGGACCUAACGAAGCGUGAAACGCUCGUUCGGCAAUGCCGACGAGCGUAACCGAAGUUAUUGACGAAACGGUCGGUUUGUACAGAUAGCCGCAGCACAGCGGAAUACAAGGUCUAAAAAUCAUGAGACGGAACUGGAGCACCUUGGAGUCAAGGAAUUAAAUCUCCAGAGGAGACGGAUCGGCCGGUUCGGAGGUUCGUUUGGAAGUCGCCAUGAGUUCGGGCCAACCGGCAACGGUUGCCGCGGAAGCCGAUUGCAAGUGACUAAAACAAGCAAUCGGACCACGGUGUUAAGGGUGGGUUGUUGUACCAAAGCGAUUAGGUCGCCAUUUAUGUGCUAAGAAUUAAGUAAUACCAUGGUAUGCAUAUAAAUGUAGAAUGAAGCAUGUAAAUGAUGCCAUGUACGCUAAAUAAUGCCCUGUUGAUAGUAUGAUGUAAAUGCUAAGUAGAUGCAAUAUAAAUGAUAUAUGAGAUUAUAAACCAUGAUUACAUUCUGAGAUUAUAGAUGCAUGCUUAGCAUUGAGAUUAUAAUGCAUAUGAACUUGGUUGAUAAACUCUAGUUGGAUUAGAGAGAUAACUAUUGGAAAUGAGAAUUGAUAACUCUAGAAAUGAGUAGAACUAAUUGGACAAUUAGUAUGUGAAUUAGAUCGACGUGGCAUCUAACUUAGUGUUAUGGAACAUAGUCUGAGUAGACAACUUAGGAAUCAAAAUAGAUUCGAGUGCAUCUAACCUAGUGUUAAUAAACAUAGUCGUGAAAUGAAAAGUACUUAAACCGUAGAUCAAGUGAACGCUGGGGGUUUGGUAAAGAAACAAUAAUGAUCCUAGUGUAAAAAAACCUAGGUUAAAGAAUGUGAAAGCAAUAACGCUAAAUUGGGUGAAGCUUAGGUUGAGUAAAGGGCUUAGACGCUAGAAGAGUCCAGUUCCAAAGGGUUUUAAGACGCAAACCCUAUGUGAUGUGAAAUGGAUUCGGAAUCCCAAGCUAAAAGGAACACCACGCCAAAGUGGUGUCGGGAUGUCGUGCGACGAAUUUCGCCGCCCAGAGGUAGAGAACCAUUGUCGUGGCGUGUGUGCGAGCGAUUUUCGCCGCCGGAUGGUUAGCUCAGUUUGGGAUACCUACCGCCGUUGACUGAACCACUGUCGUGGCGUGUGCCGACGAUUUCGCCGCCGGUGGCAAGUCGUUGAACCUAGGACCGUUGUUCGGGUGAGGUGGGGCGAUUGUUCGCGCGCAGACGGCUAGGACAAGUACGGUGAGCUGUUGCUAGCUGAGGUGCAUCGUGAAGAGUUACUUUAAUCACCUUCGAGCUAGACAGUGCGCGGACAUAUCCGCGAUUGAAUUGACUCAAACCGAGUCGGGUGGCUUUGUUGACUAAUUGUAAAGUGACCUUAAGUAAGAAAAAAAAAUGCCCAAAGGCUAAGAGAUAGCAUGGUUUCAAGAUGUUAAGAGUAAAGAAACAACCUAAAUCGAUAAUGAAUAGCUACAGCAGUAAAGUAGAUGGCUAAGAUAAUGAAUAGAUAAUAGAAAGGAAUAGCUAAGAGCUACAAAAGUAAACAUUAAAUGGCAAGGAGUAAAGAAAUGAUUAAGAACAUAAGUAGUGUUAACAGUAGACCUAUCUUGCAUGAAUUACAGGUAUUGCAUACUGCAACUUUCGGAGGCAUGACCUGUAUUUCAUCAAUUGAAUAUAUAUCGUGUUGUAAUAUUGUUGAUCUAACAUGUUUGCACGUGCCUCGGUAGAGACUGUUUUUGGGCUUUUGACUUGUUCUCUUGGUUGGCUAACCCACUGAGGACUAUGGACAAUAGUCUCACCCCCUGUUCUGUUUUUGGGUAGCAGGGUACACACGUGUGCGGCGCGGCGCGCGCAAGGCGAGGACGUAGAUCUGCAGAUAGCGUCCAUAUCCCAGAGACUGAGAAGCAAUACCCGAGUUGGUGUCUAGCUUGGGAAAGGUUUAAAAAACAAAGACAAACUUUUGUUUAAGUUGUAAAAGAAUCUGUAAUGAUUAUGAUUGUAUAUUGGCAGGUUAAUUGUAAAAGAAAAUUAUGUUGAAAAUGGCAUCUAAGUGAAUUGCGUAAUAACUAGUUAGUUAUGUUUUUGAUACUUCCGUUAUGCAAUCUGUGAAUGAAUAUUGUUUCCUGUUUGGAAGCCGUCUCGUAUUAUUUUGAUUGCGACGCCUCUGGACUACAGGGAAAGACUCUGUCCGUUCGGGCGUCUGUCGCGGACCCGCGACCCGCCAAAAUUGGGCCGGUGGUCGCGGUCCGUGACAGAUAAGAAAUGGUAUCAGAGAAUAAAGUAGAGAAUGAAAAUGGGUUUAGGCAACCUAGAGAACGCCUAGGUAGUGGAAUACCUUUAGAGGUUAAGAGCUGCGAUGAGAGACGAGGAUUUGUGACUUAUGGCGAAAGAUGAAUUAAUUGGGUCAAGUGUUGAAACGCUCUAAACGGAUUAUUGGUGGUAGAUUCAAGUGUAUGUUGAUUCUCAACGCGAGGGUGUUCAGUUUUGGGUGCACACAACAUGAAGCCCGAGCGAUGAGAAUAGACGGCCUCUUAGUGUGACUUUCGGCCCGAUUGGCUUUUAAGCCGGUGUUAAUGGACUCUUCUCCGACCCAAGUUGGUCGAGAACACUAAUUCACAGUUGUCGGUUUGCAGGAAGCGAUGGACACCGCGUAGGAGAACUCGCACCAGAUCGGUGCGGGAGGGACAAGUGUGGAUUCCGCGAGCGAAUCCGACGCUAGCGAACUCAGAGCUCGUGAUCAGUUGGCCGACACUCGUAGGAGUGAUGAGGCAAGCAAGCUGAUGUAAGUGCAGAGGCAGGCAGAGCGCUGCUAGCGUGCCAGAGAAACAAAAUUGAAAAGACUCCAAAGAGACGGUGGACUCAGCUGGUGGAAGCACCAGCUGCGUGCUCGUCAGGGACGGCCGAGAGUCCGCGGGGCGGAGAAGUGUUUCGUCGGGGUCGGGUGAUCCACUCCGAUUUAGUUCAGAGGUGGCGGCGCGAAAAGGAUGCGGCUUUGGCGCCCUCAUGGCUUUCAAGAAAUUUGAUCCGCUGCCUUGAAUGGUGAGGACCCCCCCCCCCCGCCCCGCGGCAAAGAAGAAAAAAAAAAAAAAAAAAAAAAAUUAAGGAAGAUCCGUGGUCAAUAGAGAUAUGGGUUGAUUCCAUGGAAACGCUCUUAGAGGAUUUGUACACGUUGGGAGGCGGGACAAGGUAAAAACCUAGCGCGCAUGUAUUCUCAAACAAGUCGGCGAAGGUGUGGUGGAAAGCGUCAAGCGUGAUCGAGUCGCACUAGUCCCGCCUCCUAUGAGCUUGGGAAGGUUUCGGGGAUUGGUGUUCAUCAGCUUCUAUUUCUUUUCUCCGACAGUAGAAAAGCGAAAGCUUAAAGGAAAGAUCAGAAGUUACGGCAAGAGGAGAUCGCUCAGUAGGCUCGAGCGGAGUUUUUUCCCGUAUCGUGCAUUGUGUCGCCCAAACUGUACGGGAUGACAAGGACAAGGCUACUGCUUUUGUGCGUUGGCUUUCGGCCGAUCUUUACCAGGCUGUGCUCGUAUCUAAGAUACAUGACUUUUGCUGAGGUCUUGGAUCGGGCCUCUGUGGAUAGAAAGGCAAUGCCUUUUAUGCGGGAAACGAGAGGCAUAUUACAAGAAAAAGAGGAAAAGACGACCAACAGGUGGAUCCAGUGGUCAGUCCAAGUUCGCCAACGGCUUCGACGACUUUCGCACUCGCGAUCCCGAGUUGCUCCGGGACUACCGCAUUCGGUCCUCGGCGAAGUCGUGCUAAUUGUUGGAGCCUUCAUUUUCCACAGCAGUGUGAGCAGGCGUGAGGCAAGUGCUUCAAGUGCUGGCUGCGGCCAUAAUGUCGGGAUGAGUGUCCGCUGUGUGAUGGCCGGCCUUGGCACUGGCGAUGGCCCAUUCCUCUCCUGGGACAACCUGGCAGGUGUGCCACCUGCGUUAUGUCGGGAGAGCGGCCCCGUUGAGUGACGAUGCAACCAGAGGUCGCCGACGAACCCCAGUUGCAAUGGAUAAGCGACCCGAAUUGCGGACCACUGCGCGCUACGACCGUCAUCGUGGCAGGUAUGAGUUAAAUUGAGAAAAAUGUUGCUUUUACUCAUACUCAAGCGUGCAAUAGCAUGCAUUUAUUUGUUUGGUCGGUUGCUACUAAUUUAUAUAUUGCAUUUAUGCAUAGUUGGGUAAGUAGACACACAGUACAUGCACUACAUUGUGAGAAGUGGCACCUGCUGGUGCAAUAGAAAGCCAGUGGUGCUAGCUAAUGGCUAGUGAUGAUUCUCCGGUAAGCAAUGAGGCUCGUGGAGAACGUGGUCUAGUAAGUGACUCUUAAUAAUAAAUGGAUUGAAAAUUGUGGAAGAGUUGAGCUUCGAUGUUGAGGAUACCCGCGAAAGACUGCGGAGUUGAUACUGUGUUCCGAUAGAUCGACAGUGAGUAGAAUCACUGUUGGUGGAGUAGUCGUGCAGAUUUGACUGACCGGGCCCGUUGCGCUAGUAUAUCGCCAGUUGAGGUGGACGAGUUUGCUCGUGUAGUGGAUUGGAACGUGCAUAGGCAAGCGGGCCUGAUGCCUGGACUUUCUGUUGCAUCCUGUAGAAGCGUAGCGGCUCUAUGUUACUCGCGAGGUGCGGUUUCGAUCUCAGCACAGCUUGAGUGAUUGGCAGUAGCAUUAGCAGGCUAAGUGUGAAACGGCGCAUUGAUCAUUCAUGGGGCUGGGCCGCACAAGUGCUAAGAGAGUCGAUAGUGGUAACUUGAGCUGCUGUAGAGCAUGUGUGUAGGUGACGACGUUGGGGGCCUAGUGCUUGGGAACGACCAGUUGGUCUGGAUCACUUGUGACUGUGAGCUUGACCCAUUGGGCAGGCGCCAGUCACGCUGUGAGAGACAGCGGCGCCGGUACCCUAUUGGUAGGCGAGUAGUUUGGUCAGCUACGGUAUCCGAGCUAGACCCGAGUACGUGGAAUGUCACGUGUUUAGAGUGCGAGAUUAGAUACAACCGAGUAUGUAGUGACCUCAACCCAAGGAUUAGAUUGGAUUGGGGUCUGAUAGCUCCUGGUUGAGUGGUGUGCGAGUUCCUCCAAUGAGAAAUGUCGCCCACUGAUGAUUGUGGUCUACUCUUGCGAGCGAGAGACGCCUAGCCGUCUUGAAAGGGAUCGGGAAUUCUUAGUUGGUAGGCCUCACGUAGGGUGGGAGACUGUUGGUCCACUCCUAGAGACUAUGGUCGGUGGCGACCGAUGACCCCGUGAAUGCAGCUUAGGCCGCAGUUGCGAACGAUAGGGUUUCGUGUUGCAAAUUCACAUGUACGGCAGUUAGAGAUGAUGUCGAUCGUGCUUAUGGUAUUUAAAGGAUACAAGAGAAACCGCAGUGUCUCUUAUAAGCCUUGAGUGAAUGGACGCCAACGUGAGAAUUGGAGUUGGUGACGUCUCAAGUUAGUGAUACGCAAGUGGAUAAAUGCUCUCAAUGGGAAUGACAUUGAACGCGCGAAGUGUGCCUCCUCGUGAUAGAGCAAGAUUCGAUUGAAGAAUUGGAGGCACUCAAUGAUGUCCGAGUCACGCAACGAUAAUUGCGUUAAUAAGCAAUGCCGUGAUCGAAAUCGGAGUGGAAUUCCUGAGGGAUUUACAUGUAACGCAAUGGAUUGGUUCGCCAAUAAGUGAAAGGCCAGUUCAAAAGUGAACAAAGUGGGAUUGAUGCCCUCAACUUGUUUCGACUACAGUCCGAAUUUGAGGCGCGGUUUAAGUUUCCGCGACGAAACUCAUUUUUUAGAGGGAGAAUGUCAACAUACGGACUCAAAAAAGUCAAAGUUAAUGAAGUUACGGUGUAUGUUUGGCUGGAAAACUAUUUGAAUGGUUCCGGUAAGUUGGUUCGGUGAGAGUUCGGAAGCUUUUGGCGUUUCGGUGCGCGUCAGGCGCGAAAACGGAAACCCGAAGUACUGUGGUGGCGUGAGCUAAGUUCGGCAAUUAGCGGUCGGAUGAAAAGAUGAUGGAAGACACUGUUCGAUAACAUGUUUGGAAAUGUACAUAUAUUGGAACCAGAAGGAAUUAUCGAACCUUUAGCCAAAUUGGCUCAAAGCAUGCGAAUAAGAUGAAGGACUAGUUCCAAUUGAACGUCCAUCAAGGUUGGAAGGUUAAAGAUGAUUACUAAAAGAGUAGAAAGGUUUUAGCGUUGUCCGGAUCAUGAAAUAGAGUCAAGGCUUCUGUUAUCUUGAAUAUUAUCUUCUUUCUUUUUUAUCAGCUAAAAACCAAGUCGGAGCAUGGUUACCGGUACAAUUUGAUGUUGUACCGGUACAAGUUGAUGUGUACGCGGUACAACAAGCAACCCGAAGAAUGCAACUCUCGGGUUUGAGUGAAAAAGGCUGUUAACCGUGACACGGGAAAGUGUACGGUAACACUUUGGCAGAAGGCAAAGAUUUGGUCUGCUGGCAAUUAUAAUUGAUUGGAGGGGUUUAAUUUGCAAUUGUUACGCUAAUGUAAUACCCUAAACCCCUCUCCUCACACAGAUCUCUCUCCCUGCUCUCACCUCUCGUGUCUCUCCUCUCCCUCUCACCGUUUGGACAAGAAAGACAGAGGAAAAGAAGAAAAGAAAGGAAAAAGAAAAAGAGAAGGAAAAAGAAAAAAGGAUGAGAAGAAGAAGCUCUACCUCCAUAUUCAUCUCCUCAAUGCUUGGAGGAGCUUGAGAGUAAGCCAAUGUGUCUCCUCUCAUGUGGGAAUUAGGUUAGGUUAGUUUUUAAACCGCUAAUACCAAGAGAUUUGAGAGCUUCUAAGCAUGAUAACCAUAUAGAGACCUAUAACACAUGAAAUCAUUGGUGUUCUUCGUAAUGUCUGCUAAUGGUGGAAUCUCUAGGGUAUGUUCUAAAUGGCCCUAGGGAUGUUCUAAUGAAUAGAAACAAGUUUAGAGCAACUUCUUGGGAUUCUGAAGCUCGAUUAUACAUUAGCUAAUGAGAUCAAUCCAAGAAAUUUGAUAUGGCAUUGUAGGGCACCGAAAUGGGGCUUUUGCCUCCGGGUGUUUCUAAGCAAAUUCGGCUUGUAGAAACCUAAAUUGGACCCUAACGAACGCGUUGAAUAGCUCGGUUAGCAUCGACGAGCGUUACGCGAAGUUAUUGAUCGAAAACGGUACGUUUUUGUAGCAGAUAGCCGCACAGCACAGCGGGAAUACAGAGUCAAAUCAUGAGAUCGGAACUCGGAAGCCUGGAGUCAAGGAAAUAAAUCAGAAAAGAGCGAUGCGCGUUCGGAUGGUCGUCUUGAAGUCGCGCAUGAUCGGCCAAAAUCGCGCAAUCGGUUGCCCGCGGGAGGCCGGAUUGCAAUGACACAAGCAAUGGAGUGGCGUGUUAAGGGGGGUUGUUUUACCGAAGCGACUAGGUCGCCUUUAUGUCUAAGAAAUGUAAGAAAUCCAUGUUUGAUGCAUAUAAAUUAAAUAAGGCAUGAGCUAAAUAAGCUGAUUAUAUUUAUGAUGAAAUGGCUAAGAUAGACUGACAUAUAAAGAUACUAUGAAGAUAUAAACAGUCAUGAUUAGCAAUUAUGAGAUUAUAGAUGAUAAGCUUAGCAUUGUGAGAUUAUAUAUGCAUAUGAACUCUGGUUGAUAACUCUAGCUUGAUUAAGAGUAACAUUGGAAAAUGAGAUUGAUAACUCUAGAAUGAGUAGAAUGCUAAUUGGACAAUUAGUAAUGUAAUUAGAUCGAUGUGGCAUCUAACUAGUGUUAAGGAGACAUAAGUCGUGAGUAGACCUAGAAUCAAAUAGAUCGAGUGGCAUCUAACCUAGCUGUUAAUAAAAUAGGUCGUGA